GGAAGGUUGAUUCUUUUCUCCAAUAUAAUUCUUCAUUACAACAUAGCCCCUUUUGUUUUUGUCCCUCUACUCUGUCUGCUGCUGGUGAAGGAGUUGGCUAGACAUUUCGUACUAUGGAAAUUUUACCAGGAGCAAGAGAGCAUCUUUUGGGAUCGAACUGGAAUGAAAAUGGAUUUGAAGAGAAUCCAGAAAUCAAGAUUCAGGUUAGGGGUCUUACAAAGGUGUCUGAAAAGGGUGUUUCUAUAUUGAACAAUGUGAGCGUUGACAUACCUAAAGGUAUAAUCAUGGGUGUUAUAGGCCCAAGCGGUAGUGGGAAAUCAACUUUCUUGAGAUCACUAAAUCGAUUGUGGGAACCAUCUUCCAACUCUGUGUUUUUGGAUGGUCAUGAUAUAUGUGAUCUGGAUGUGCUUGCUCUCCGCCGUAAGAUUGGGAUGCUGUUUCAGCUUCCUGUUCUCUUUGAAGGUACUGUUGCAGAUAAUGUACGAUAUGGGCCACAGUUAAAAGGAAAAAAACUAAGUGAUAAUGAGGUAUACAAGUUGCUGACUCUAGCUGACCUGGACUCAUCUUUCUUCAACAAGUCUGGUGGGGAACUCUCUGUUGGUCAAGCACAGAGAGUUGCACUUGCUAGGACCUUGGCAAAUGAACCAGAGGUUCUGCUGCUGGAUGAGCCAACAAGUGCACUGGAUCCAAUAUCAACUCAGAAUAUUGAGGAUGUUCUUGUAAAACUGAAGAGGGAGCAGAAUAUGACCAUUGUGAUGGUUUCACAUAGCAUCAAACAAAUAAAGAGAAUAGCUGACAUAGUAUGCCUGCUUGUCAAUGGAGAGAUUGUAGAAAUUUUAAAGCCUGAUCAACUCUUUGAAUCUAAACAUCCCAUGGCACAAAGAUUUCUUGAACUCAGCUCCUAAAAACUUCUCGCCGACCCCUCUUUCCUGUAUGUGUUGUGUUUUUUAUGCUUGGAUGGAUGGUGAAGUCCAGGAAACCAAUUCCAAAUGUGUAAUAGUAUUUGACUUAUCAUAUAUAUAACUUUGUAUCACCACUGUGAUGGUUGUGCAGAUUGAGUAGCAAUUGGCCAGGCAGUUGAGACUUCCCUUUUUAAAGAAGUGUAUUAAGAUAUUUGUACAAUGUAUGCUACAUGUCUUGGUUGCUGA
rnacentral:misc_RNA from 1 species